CGUGGCGCUACGUUCACAUGAUUUUCGCCUUGGCUGAUCGAAUACAGUCAAUAUGGCUGCGCCCGCGUGUGACAGCUCGAAUACCUUUGGGCAACCGUGCAGAGGAGGAGCAGAAUUCCUGGUGACGGAGGACCAGUGACGGAGAGAAUCUCUAUAAAAUAUCUGGGUACUCCUACAGAUGGCAGCAGUGGUGCUGCUGGGGCUGCGGCACAUAAGUGUGCCGUUACAAUAUAU